rnacentral:rRNA from 1 species
CGUAGCAAUACGUCAGCGGCAGACGGGUGAGUAACGCGUGGGAACAUACCUUUUGGUUCGGAACAACACAGGGAAACUUGUGCUAAUACCGGAUAAGCCCUUACGGGGAAAGAUUUAUCGCCGAAAGAUUGGCCCGCGUCUGAUUAGCUAGUUGGUGAGGUAACGGCUCACCAAGGCGACGAUCAGUAGCUGGUCUGAGAGGAUGAUCAGCCACAUUGGGACUGAGACACGGCCCAAACUCCUACGGGAGGCAGCAGUGGGGAAUAUUGGACAAUGGGCGAAAGCCUGAUCCAGCCAUGCCGCGUGAGUGAUGAAGGCCCUAGGGUUGUAAAGCUCUUUUGUGCGGGAAGAUAAUGACGGUACCGCAAGAAUAAGCCCCGGCUAACUUCGUGCCAGCAGCCGCGGUAAUACGAAGGGGGCUAGCGUUGCUCGGAAUCACUGGGCGUAAAGGGUGCGUAGGCGGGUCUUUAAGUCAGGGGUGAAAUCCUGGAGCUCAACUCCAGAACUGCCUUUGAUACUGAGGAUCUUGAGUUCGGGAGAGGUGAGUGGAACUGCGAGUGUAGAGGUGAAAUUCGUAGAUAUUCGCAAGAACACCAGUGGCGAAGGCGGCUCACUGGCCCGAUACUGACGCUGAGGCACGAAAGCGUGGGGAGCAAACAGGAUUAGAUACCCCGGUAGUCCACGCCGUAAACGAUGAAUGCCAGCCGUUAGUGGGUUUACUCACUAGUGGCGCAGCUAACGCUUUAAGCAUUCCGCCUGGGGAGUACGGUCGCAAGAUUAAAACUCAAAGGAAUUGAC